rnacentral:lncRNA from 10 species
UGGAGCUCAGCAAAGCCUGAGCUGAAGAGUCACGUUGGAUCGGGAAUCAUCAACGCCGAUAGCCUGUCCUGGGUGCAGUGACAGAGGACAAGUAAGCCAGUGGAGCAGAGGAGAGAACAGCGCCCAGCUGCAAACCCUGAGGCAGAGGAAAGUUACAGAGGAAGUAGGAAGAGCCCAAGAAGGAGCUAGAAAACGAAAGCAAAUGAGAUGGAAGAAAGCCCAAACUGGAGGUGCUGAGUGGUUCUCAGAAUCACCUGGAAGCUGGUUAAAACCCAGUUUGCUGGACCCACCCUCAGAAUCCCUAACUCAGCAGCUUUGAAGUGGGCCAAGAAUUUGCACCAAGUCUCCAAGGGAUGCUGGUGCCUUUGAUCCAGGGACCACACUGCUCAAGAGGCACUCAUCACAGGAGUAGUCAACUCAUCUCCAUGGAGCAUGUGUUCCCCGCAAGCCCAUACUCUUCCUGAGGGGGAAGUGCUCUAGGAAGGAAGAUCCAAAGGAAAGGAGAAAGGAAAAAAGAGAAGAAAAGAAGGGGGAAAGGGAAGGAGCUCUCUUCACAAAACAAGACUUUUUGGUAGUGCCUAGGGGUAUCCUUGUGCCUCUGCUUCAGUGUUCAAAGCUGUCCUUUGUGAUAACACUGGGCCAGGAGGAGAAUCCAAGAUCAUCUCCUCAUCUCAAGAUCCUUGACUUGAUCACUUCUGCAGAGUGCCUUUGCCAUGGUCUCCAGCUUGCAGAAAAUUCCAUGUCUUUUAAGGAUAUGUGCUGAAAUAUUUAGAGAAGAAAUGAUAUGAUGUCUUAGAUUUGCUUCAAAAUAAUCCAGUUGUGGAGAGAUGGCUAGGUAUAUUAAAAUAAGGUUGGCCAUAAAUUAAGAAUUGUAGAAGCUAGAGGUUGGGUACAUGGGAGUUUAUUAUUCUCUUCUAUUCUUGUAUUGGUUUGAAAUUUCUCAUAAUGACAAGUUUAAAAAUAAUAAUAAUAAACAAUAUGCACCCAGAAAUAAAAUUACUGGGUAUGAGUGUUUCCAAGGCAUUUAAAAUGUAUUGUCAAAUUGCUUUCCACAAAGGCUGUAGCAAUUUAUAGUUCCACUAGUAGCAAAUGAGAAUGCUGAGGAUAUAAUAUUUUAAAGAAUAUAUAAUCACUUGGAUAAACGGAGGAACACAUAUUUCUCAGUUGUCCAUGCCUUUAGAAAGGCUAAUGGCGUAUUAUGGGAUAUUAUGGCCCAGUCAUGACUACACACCUGGAGGCCUUGUACCUGAACAGCAGGGAAAAAAUUCAAAGAGUAAAUGGAGUUCAGCAUGACAGUCUUGCCAAUUCAGAUUUAUACAAAUCUAAAUUACCCAAAUGAGGGGUUUCGCUGUUAUUCUUGACACCAUUGCAGAGGAUCUUUCUGAACAUCUAUUGAGAUAUUAGUUUAACGGGAAAAUCUACCAUUGUAUCUUCUCAGUGAAAUCUGAUUAUCUUCAAGAGGCUUCCUCACAUAAAAAGGGGGGCGGGGGGAAUCAAUGCCUGGGUUUCUCUGCCUAGCAUGAAAAAUAAUUUUCUGCUAUAGGGUAAUUUUGAGCUCCUGUAAUCUUCCAAUUAUGUUUGAUUGCAGUGCCUCCUUCCUGUCUCAGUAUUAAAGGAUGGUCAGCACUUUUCUGCAACCAAAACUGACUUUCAGAUGAAGCCGCCACUUAUUUCAAUGGCUUGUUUAUAAUCAGCAGCUCUUUGGGCAUGUGGAGCAUCCCCUCCUUGGAGGAGGAGCCCACUCCAGGACCUCUCCCUGGCUGUUAGCCAACCUGUUAACGCAUCACAGGGUUUAGGGGUCUACUAGGUGAGAUAAGCCUUCAGGUACUGUGCAGGGACACGAAGAAUAAUGAGUUGGGUAUCUGCCCCCUAGGAGGGCAUCAUGCUAGUGGGAGAGUCACAGGCAUAGGUGUGAAAAGUCACACUCCUAGAAGGCACCUUGCCAGUGAAAGAGUUACAGGUACGUAUGUGAAAAAUCACGUAACGAUUGAACCAGUCAUUCAUUCCACAGAUACUAAACAUGCUUGAUGUUGGUAGCAAAGAGAUGAAUAAGUCAGAAUCCCUGCACUUAAAGUAUUCAUCUUGUAAGAAAACAGAAAUAUGAACAAAUAGUUAAAAUGCCACUUUGUAAGCGUAGUGCUAGAGGAAUGUGUCAAGGUUUGUAGUGAAAUGAGAAGGGACUUCUGACUAUUCAAGGAGACUUCCUGAAGGAUGAGAAGGUUGGACUGUCUGUUUUUCAGAAGGUUGGACUUAAAAGGCGGUCAGUGAGGGGAGGUGCCCUCCAGGCAGAAAGAAGUAUAGGUGGAAAGGCAGGGAGACUUGAAAUCAUGUGAAUCUUUGAGUGGAAUGGCAAUUCAUUUGCUCUGGAGCAAAGUUAGAGGAUGGGUAGGGAAGGGACAGAAAAUGAGAAUGGGAAGGUAGGAAAUGCUAGAUACUAGAAGGCCUUGUCUGCAAUGCAGAGGCAUUUGUUUGUUUUUUAAACUAUGCUAAAGUAUGAUUUUGUAGAGCUGGACAACUGAGUGAAUGAAGAGGGGAGAAGUGCCCAAGGAUGGCACGUUGCUUUGUGUGAGAACCUAGCGUCUUGAAAGGAUCAGGGAGGAAUGUCAUGCUGAGAAUAACCCUGGGACAUGCCAAGCCCGAGAAGAGAUAAAACUCCUUUGCAGAAUUACAUGACGCGAAUCAUCCAUUCAGAUACCCUACCACCAAGGGGCUGGAGCAUGACUCCUUAUUCCUUAGGUGGCAGCUGCUUCUAGCGACUUUUUUCCAAAGGUGCAGUGUGGAAUUGGGGGCAGAAGUCAGAGAGAAUAAUUUCACAAUUAAGAAACAUGACAAGCUCAACUUCAGCCAGGGGGCCAAGGUCAACAUCAACAGUCAUAAAUCGUGUCAAUGGUAGGUAACCUUGAUAUGAGAUGAUAACAUUGGCACUUUAUCUCUGUGGUCUCCCUCAUGAUAACCCACAACCCCAAUUUAAUCAUGAGAGAAAACAUCAGACAAAUCCUAGGAGAAGGACAUUCUUCAAAAUACUUGACCAGUGUUCCCAAAACUGUCAUGGUCCUCAAAAACAAGGAAAGUCUUAGAAACUGUCACAGCAAGAAGAGCCUAAGAAAACAUGACGGCUAAAUGUAACGUGGUAUCUUGGAUGGCAUUCUGAGACAGAAAAAAAUCAACA